UGGGGAAUUUUGCACAAUGGAGGAAACUCUGAUGCAGCGACGCCGCGUGAGUGAUGAAGAUCUUCGGAUUGUAAAACUCUGUCCUUAGUGAAGAUAAUGACAGUAACUAAGAAGCAAGCCCUGGCUAAAUACGUGCCAGCAGCCGCGGUAAUACGUAUGGGGCAAGCGUUGUCCGGAAUUAUUGGGCGUAAAGGGUACGUAGGCGGUUUAAUAAGUCCUAAUUAAAAGGCUAUGGCUCAACCAUAGUAUGGUUAGGAAACUGUUGAACUUGAGUAGAUGAGGGGAAAGUGGAAUUCCAUGUGUAGCGGUGAAAUGCGUAGAUAUAUGGAGGAACACCAAUGGCGAAGGAAACUUUCUGGAAUCAAACUGACGCUGAGGUACGAAGGCGUGGGGAGCAAACAGG
rnacentral:rRNA from 1 species